rnacentral:misc_RNA from 1 species
AAUAUGAACCGAUGGUGGCCUAAUGCAUUCUUGAUUGGCUUAAGAAUUAGCUAUUAAGUUUUUUGGUUUUCCAAGUCAUAAUAUUUUUCAGCUUCUAUUUUAAUGACCUACCUUGCCACUCAGUUCUGAGCUUUUCUUUUGUUUUUCAGCAUUAUUAUGAGUGUGUAAUCUGUGGCAAUGGUGGUGAAUUGCUCUGUUGUGACACCUGUCCCUGCACUUUUCAUCUUCAGUGCCUUAAUCCACCUCUUGAAUCCAUUGCCCCUGGAAAUUGGCAAUGUGAAAAUUGCAGUGAAGAUGCUGACCUUGUAACUCCGCUUAGGUAUCUCGUGAGCUCGAAAGGAAAUGCCCCAUCUAACCAAAAUGCUGUCAACCACAUUGGUGACAAAAAAGGUGCUGAGAAAGUGAAAGAAAUUAAAGUCUACAGAAGACUUGCGAAGAAGAAGGAAGUAGAAAAGGAGGAAGAUAAGGACGCAAGAAAAUUUACUGUGGUCUAUGGUCCUGAAUUUGCAAAUGAAGAUCAAAAGGAUAAACCUCCUGUAGAUACUUCAGGAUUGUUCAAUUGUUCGAGCAUUCAACCCAAGUCUGCUGAACAGGCUAAUAAAGAUAUGGAAAUCGACGAUAUGAAUGCAUCAAGGCCCCACCAACCAAAAGAAUCUAGCCAAAAACCAGUAGAAGAGCGUCAAGUGAUGAACAACAGUGUUUGUGCGCAUAGUCCUAACAUAAAUCAGUAUGACAGUCUUUGGAUUUCAAGGGAUGUUGUUCAGAAGUCAAUAAAGGACCAUUACUUUAAGCAGAAUAAAGGAAGGGAAAAGCAGCAGGCUCUAUACCCAGAGAAUACAGAAUCUGGCAGGGCUAGGAAAGAGAAGUUUGCUAGGCUUCGAGCAAGACAGAAACAAAAACUUGCCUUCAGGAACAGAAGCAGGGGACUGAUCCUUAGUUCAGGACUAGGUGGACAUGAACCACUUAAGUUGUAUCCAGAAAUCACCGUAUCUGAGAGAGUGCAUACUUCAGCAAAUGGCUUGAAGGAACACAUAUUACCGAAGCCACUUCUUAUGAAAGAGAAGAUGACCUUAAGUGACCAGUUGCAUUCUAAAUCUUUAGAUCAGAUAUAUGCCCAUUUGAAUUGUUUUCAGAAUCUUUCCAGCAUAAGAGACCCCAGAAAAUUGUACUACAGGCAUAUUAAAUUCGGACAGUUACCAUGUUUUUCAUUCCAUCAGGCAUCAGAUGCAAGAUUUUCAGAGAUUAACCUGAACAAUAAUAAAUUGAAGAAGCUGGUCUCUUUCUCCUUGUUUAUCAGGAUCUGCCUGGAAUAGAAAAUUAUUUACAUUUUGUUUAGUUUACUCUCUUUUUUCCCUCUCAGUAUGCAACAACUAAAUUGCUGUGUUACUUAAUUUGUAGGAUCCCCCUGCAGUACCUCAAGGAGGCCUCAUUCAUCCAAGGAGUUCAGCUUCAAACUUUUCAUCUACUCAACAAUCGAGGGAAAAUGUUGAUAGCAUGAUGUUGAAGAUGUCCAACUACUUGGGAAAAGAUGAUGGAAUGGUAGAUGUUUGGUUAGAGGAGGAACUUGAUUCUCUUUGGAUUGGCAUCCGGAGACAUGGGCAGGGAAAUUGGGAAGUCAUGCUCAGAGACCCUUUGCUGACUUUCUCCAAGCAUAAAACUACAAAUGAUCUGUCACGAAGGUGGAACAAGGAAAGACUUAAAAUCUUGAACCCUCGUGGAUCGCUCUCUAGUAUGUUCAGGGAUUCAACUGACCGAAAGAAGAACAACUCUCAAGUACUUGACGCCACCUUGCCAAUUUUGAAGGAUCAGCUGCCUUCAAGUAGGGGAAAGAGAGUUCAGAAGAACCUUCUUGUUGGUGGAUUAAUUAACGUUCCGAUGGUUAAAAUAGACUCAGAAGCAAGUGAAGACUGGAGCCAAAUUCACCAGCAUGAAGAAAAAGAACGCUCUUCAGAGGGCACAAUUUCUGAUUAGAAUUCCAUGGCGGCUUCAAGGCAGUAGCUAUGCAUGUUUCUUUAUUUAAUCAUUUACAAUACUUUAAACACAAAUGGGAGUGAAUUCUCCAUGUUAAUUCACAUUAGCAGCUACGUAGACAGGAGCUAAUUAGCUACAGCCUACCCGUGGAAUUAUGCAAAGUAUGUAAUAUUCGUAAAUGUUGGUGUUCCUUCUGCAUCCCAUUGCAGUUUCUAGGCAUAUGUGUUUAUAUGCAGGGGAUUACGCAUUUGUUUUGUCAAAUUUUGUGACAGCCAGCCG